rnacentral:rRNA from 1 species
UACGGGGGGGGCAAGCGUUGUUCGGAAUUACUGGGCGUAAAGGGCUCGUAGGCGGCCAACUAAGUCAGACGUGAAAUCCCUCGGCUUAACCGGGGAACUGCGUCUGAUACUGGAUGGCUUGAGUUCGGGAGAGGGAUGCGGAAUUCCAGGUGUAGCGGUGAAAUGCGUAGAUAUCUGGAGGAACACCGGUGGCGAAGGCGGCAUCCUGGACAGAUACUGACGCUGAGGAGCGAAAGCCAGGGGAGCAAACGGG